UACGUAGGGUGCAAGCGUUAAUCGGAAUUACUGGGCGUAAAGCGUGCGCAGGCGGUUUUGUAAGUCUGUCGUGAAAUCCCCGGGCUCAACCUGGGAAUUGCGAUGGAGACUGCAAGGCUAGAAUCUGGCAGAGGGGGGUAGAAUUCCACGUGUAGCAGUGAAAUGCGUAGAGAUGUGGAGGAACACCGAUGGCGAAGGCAGCCCCCCUGGGUCAAGAUUGACGCUCAUGCGCGAAAGCGUGGGGAGCAAACAGG
rnacentral:rRNA from 1 species